AUGGCAUUUUUUUUUUUUGCGAAUAGAAUAGCAUUCAAGACCGAUCCGUCCCGACGUGAUCUCGCCACCAAACCAGAUGCAAACCAUAGGAGAAAACAUAAACACCUUCGUCCUGGUCGGACGCAGCGGCCACAGCUCCACUACUUCCUCUCCGGCAUCUACUUAAGAUCUUCAAAGGUUUUUCUUGCGAUAAGGAACUGCAAAGGUGAGCUUACUUCUUCUGCUUCUGCAAAGAAGAUGCCGACGUUGAGCAUCACGGUGGACAUGGGGUGCAGCCGCUGCAGCGCCAAGAUUCAGAGGGUCCUAUCCUCCAUCCAGGACCGAGGCAAGUUUGUCAUCGAGAAGAUCGUGUACGAGGAUAAACGGGUGCUCGUGUCGGGGCCCUUCGACGCCGACAAGCUGACAUGCAAGCUCUGGUGCAAGGCCAGCAACGUCAUCAAGAACAUUGAGGUCGUCAAGCCGCCGGUGGUAGCCAAGCCGAAGGACGACCCUCCCAAGCAGAAGAAGCAAGACGAGAAGCCCGAGACCAAGCCAGCCCCGUGCAACCAGCUGGUCCCGUACGCGUACCCGUACCCGCUGCCGUACCCAUCGGCGUGGCCGUGUGGCUGCGGUACGCCGUGCUGCGAGGGCCACUCCAAGCCGCCCCCUCCGGCGCCGGCGCCCACGUGCCAGUGCCCGGCCUACCCGCCGUACCAGCAGCCGAUGCCCAUGCCGUGCACGCCGAUGGUCAUCUGCGAGGAGAGCCCGCCCGCCUGCUCCGUCAUGUAA
rnacentral:rRNA from 1 species